rnacentral:rRNA from 1 species
GACGAACGCUGGCGGCGUGCUUAACACAUGCAAGUCGAACGGAAAGGCCCUGCUUUUGUGGGGUGCUCGAGUGGCGAACGGGUGAGUAACACGUGAGUAACCUGCCCUUGACUUUGGGAUAACUUCAGGAAACUGGGGCUAAUACCGGAUAGGAGCUCCUGCUGCAUGGUGGGGGUUGGAAAGUUUCGGCGGUUGGGGAUGGACUCGCGGCUUAUCAGCUUGUUGGUGGGGUAGUGGCUUACCAAGGCUUUGACGGGUAGCCGGCCUGAGAGGGUGACCGGCCACAUUGGGACUGAGAUACGGCCCAGACUCCUACGGGAGGCAGCAGUGGGGAAUAUUGCACAAUGGGCGGAAGCCUGAGGAAGCAACGCCGCGUGCGGGAUGACGGCCUUCGGGUUGUAAACCGCUUUCGCCUGUGACGAAGCGUGAGUGACGGUAAUGGGUAAAGAAGCACCGGCUAACUACGUG